rnacentral:rRNA from 1 species
GACGAACGCUGGCGGCGUGCUUAACACAUGCAAGUCGAACGGAAAGGCCCUGCUUUUGUGGGGUGCUCGAGUGGCGAACGGGUGAGUAACACGUGAGUAACCUGCCCUCGACUUUGGGAUAACUUCAGGAAACUGGGGCUAAUACCGGAUAGGAGCUCCUGCUGCAUGGUGGGGGUUGGAAAGUUUCGGCGGGUGGGGAUGGACUCGCGGCUUAUCAGCUUGUUGGUGGGGGAGUGGCUUACCAAGGCUUUGACGGGUAGCCGGCCUGAGAGGGUGACCGGCCACAUUGGGACUGAGAUACGGCCCAGACUCCUACGGGAGGCAGCAGUGGGGAAUAUUGCACAAUGGGAGGAAGCCUGAUGCAACAACGCCGCGUGCGGGAUGACGGCCUUCGGGUUGUAAACCGCUUUCGCCUGUGACGAAGCGUGAGUGACGGUAAUGGGUAAAGAAGCACCGGCUAACUACGUG